rnacentral:tRNA from 1 species
GAGGGCAUGGCUCAGUGGUAAAGUGCAUGCUUAGCAUGCAGGGGUUCCUGGGUUCAAUCCUCAGUACCUCCA